rnacentral:rRNA from 1 species
UACGUAGGGCGCAAGCGUUAUCCGGAAUUAUUGGGUGUAAAGAGCUCGUAGGCGGUUUGUCGCGUCUGCCGUGAAAGUCCGGGGCUCAACUCCGGAUCUGCGGUGGGUACGGGCAGACUAGAGUGAUGUAGGGGAGACUGGAAUUCCUGGUGUAGCGGUGAAAUGCGCAGAUAUCAGGAGGAACACCGAUGGCGAAGGCAGGUCACUGGGCCGCAACUGACGCUGAGGAGCGAAAGCAUGGGGAGCGAACAGG